rnacentral:piRNA from 1 species
GACCAGAACUAACUGGAAGGUGGC